AUUGAACGCUGGCGGCAGGCCUAACACAUGCAAGUCGAGCGAGCGGCGGACGGGUGUGUAAUGUCUGGGAAACUGCCUGAGGGAGGGGGAUAACUAGUGAACACGGUAGCUAAUACCGCAUACCCACAGAUGUGCCCAGAUGGGAUUAGCUAGUAGGUGGGGUAAUGGCUCACCUAGGCGACUAUCCCUAGCUGGUCUGAGAGGAUGACCAGCCACACUGGAACUGAGACACGGUCCAGACUCCUACGGGAGGCAGCAGUGGGGAAUAUUGCACAAUGGGCGCAAGCCUGAUGCAGCCAUGCAGCGUGUGUGAAGAAGGCCUUCGGGUUGUAAAGCACUUUCAGCGAGGAGGCGUGACUCGCAGAAGAAGCACCGGCUAACUCCGUGCCAGCAGCCGCGGUAAUAC
rnacentral:rRNA from 1 species